GUAGGUGGCAAGCGUUGUCCGGAAUUAUUGGGCGUAAAGCGCGCGCAGGCGGUUCGUUUAAGUCUGAUGUGAAAGCCCACGGGCUCAACCGUGGAGGGUCAUUGGAAACUGGAGAACUUGAGUACAGAAGAGGAAAGCGGAAUUCCACGUGUAGCGGUGAAAUGCGUAGAGAUGUGGAGGAACACCAGUGGCGAAGGCGGCUUUCUGGUCUGUAACUGACGCUGAGGCGCGAAAGCGUGGGGAGCAAACAGGAUUAGAUACCCUGGUAGUCCACGCCGUAAACGAUGAGUGCUAAGUGUUAGGGGGUUUCCGCCCCCUUAGUGCUGCAGCUAACGCAUUAAGCACUCCGCCUGGGGAGUACGGCCGCAAGGCUG
rnacentral:rRNA from 1 species